rnacentral:lncRNA from 1 species
UAAUUUCUCAAAAAAAAACUUUUCAACUGUGACAAUUUCAUUCCUCUUAUUCUCCUUUUUUUCUUUAUUGUACAACUUUCAGAGCGAUCGUCCGUUGGAUCUAUUGCAUUGGUAGUACUAUUUUGAGUUCCAUUUGCAUAUGGUUGUGGAAAAGCAAACCAAAAACCUUGCGUCAUAACCGAUUUGUGACUUUGUUUAUAUUCAUCAUUAAUUCUCUUUGUUGGAUCCCCAACAUUAUCUUAGACUGAAUGGAAAUUCAAUUAAUACCAUAUAUCCCUUGGACGAUGGAUGGUCAAGAGCUUGAAAACAUUGUUGAUCCACGAAAUUGUUAGUGAUAUGCCCAAAAGGGCAAUCGAAUGAUGUUUGCUUUUAAGGAAAUAUUGUAUUUGAUUAGCAUUUUGAUAUUUAUAAAAUGACAAAGUUAUCUGCAUUCAUAAAUUAAUUUAAUGAAUAUAGUCUAAGAUUUUCAGGAAUCUUUCCUCUUGAUUUUUGUUUUUGAAUGAAGUCGAUUCGAGGUUUCUAGAGAUUUCGUCAUCCAUUUUAAUUUUACUGCACAAAAGUUGAGUUUUCAGGAAUCUUAUGGGCAUGUGUUGUCCUUCACAAAUCCCCCUGAUUGUCCUUCUGUGGAUUCCCCUAAUCCCAUUGUCUUCACUCCACAGCGAUCGCCCACCUACGAUUGGUACCUAAGAUUGGCUGAGACUGCCAAGAAAGGCAGCGGCGUGUCCAGCAUGUAAGAGAACGGCCGCAAACUUUUAUGUUCUAAACCACUGCACUUAAUGCGGAAUUGACGGCUCCCGUGUCAACUGCAGUGCAGCUCAAGUGCUGGAGCGUUCCGAUUUUGCUCACACCUGAUUGAGGUAGAAAGAGAGGAAACAAACUGCACUGAUUUUACUCAUAUACGAGUGAUACAAUUCUCUUGUUGGAAGGUACUGUUAAUAUAUCAAAUCCACCGGUGUUUGAAUAUUAAAUUUCUUGUUUUAAAAUGAAAUUACGAAUUAAAAUAUUAUAUAAUUUAUUUUAUAUAAUUUCUAUCAUUUUAUUUUUCUUAUAUAGUUUCUGUUAGAAAUAUAUAUCUAAAUAUAUAUUUAUAUAUAGGGUUUUAUCACUUUUAGGUCAGCCAUGAGGGAAGCAUGACCAAGAGCAAGUGAUCAUUUUGAGUUAGAACUCUAUAAUAUUUUAAAUAUUAUAUUGAAAGAUGUUAAAUGAUCAUUAAGAAGAUGAUCACUAUAACAAUUGUUUAAGCUUAUUUAGUGAUCAUUGAGAAGAUGUUCACUACUCUUGGAAUGUUAUAAAUAGAAUGCAAAUUCAUAGAGGAAAGAAGUUAACCAAAAAAAAAAAAAACAAAAUGCAAUUUAGAAAAAAUUCAAGUUAAAAGAAGUUUAGAGGGUUCUUGCAAUAUGAAUUGAGAGAAUUUUCUAACUUUCUGAUCAUCUUUUGACCAUAAAUCAAUAGCACGACCUUGAUUUAUUGAUUUUCCGCAUAUAAUCCAAGUAUAUGUUUAAAUUCGAAUUUACAAGUUUUUAUUUUAAUUCUUGCUCGAAAAUCAACAGUUUUCUAUUUCUACAACCCAACUCCCAUAAUUUCUAAAAAAAAAAACUUUUCAACUGUGACAAUUUCAUUCCUCUUAUUCUCCUUUUUUUCUUUAUUGUACAACUUUCAGAGCGAUCGUCCGUUGGAUCUAUUGCAUUGGUAGUACUAUUUUGAGUUCCAUUUGCAUAUGGUUGUGGAAAAACAAACCAAAAACCUUGCGUCAUAACCGAUUUGUGACUUUGUUUAUAUUCAUCAUUAAUUCUCUUUGUUGGAUCCCCAACAUUAUCUUAGACUGAAUGGAAAUUCAAUUAAUACCAUAUAUCCCUUGGACGAUGGAUGGUCAAGAGCCUGAAAACAUUGUUGAUCCACGAAAUUGUUAGUGAUAUGCCCAAAAGGGCAAUCGAAUGAUGUUUGCUUUUAAGGAAAUAUUGUAUUUGAUUAGCAUUUUGAUAUUUAUAAAAUGACAAAGUUAUCUGCAUUCAUAAAUUAAUUUAAUGAAUAUAGUCUAAGAUUUUCAGGAAUCUUUCCUCUUGAUUUUUGUUUUUG